UAAGACGAACCGUGCGAACGUUGUUCGGAUUCACGGGGCUUAAAGGGCGCGUAGGCGGGCUUUCAAGUCGGGGGUGAAAUCCCACAGCUUAACUGUGGAAGUGCAUCCGAUACUGGGAGCCUUGAGGGAGGUAGGGGUGUGUGGAAGUUCCGGUGGAGCGGUGAAAUGCGUAGAUAUCGGAAGGAACG
rnacentral:rRNA from 1 species